ensembl:ncRNA F57F4.6 ncRNA
GGUUUUGUUUCCGUGUUAUUCGCAUGUUCGCAUGGGUAAUUAUAUAAAAUUGAAGAGGAAAAACGAAAAAAAAAGAAUGCUUUUUAUACGAUUGGCU